AACGUGAUGUUAGAGCCCUGUGUUUGCAAAGCUCCAGCAGGCUGCAAAGCAGUGUUUGCAAAGGGCAAGGUGCUUUCAAGAACGAGGUGUGUUUGUGCAGGAGGGAGAACAGUCACAUGCUGGGGUGGAAAGCACCCCUCCCCGCCCCCCUUUUGUAGCUGCAUCUCCCUUGUUGAAAUAUAGGACAGCUCUCUAUUGCAAUCCGAAGCCCCCUCUGCUGUAGGAAAUUCAGAAGCAGGGGGAGGGGGUGGGGGGAAACCAGAGACUCUGAAACUGGAGCAGUCGGGUGUCACAAAAGGAAACCGCAAAGGAAAGGUGGCAGGUCGGGUGGCGGUUGCCCCCUUUUGCCAUCACAGGGCUUGCUCACGAGGCCACUGGAACGGCAGCUGCUUUUUGCCUUGUUCAGUACAACAUUUGCCAAACAAGGGUGCCCCAGUUUUGUAAUCUGUCCGCUGCUGGAGUGAGGGGGUGAGCUGCGCAGCAGUUACGCUGGGUGCCAGGUAGCAGUGCCAAGCCAGAGCUGCUGCAAUCCAUAUUAUUCAGGUCAAACGGUAGUAGCAGCUCUGCCGCUGCUUCUCUCCCGCUCCUUGGGGGCGGGGUGGAGUUUGCAAGGGAAUGAGUUUGGGGAACAAGGUGCUGGUGCGGUGGUGAUGGAAGAUGCCUAUUUUGGACCUUGGCAAUCAUGAGCAAACCAGCUCUUUUGAUAGAUUCCUUUGGGUCACUAGCAGAGAGGUAGCUGCUCCUCUAUCCCCUCGUCUAAGGGGGGGAUGUCCCUAGCAGGUCUAGGGGGUAUAUGUGAGCACAUGCCACCUACCCACGCCUGCACCAAAUGAGCUCACAGUGAGGAGGCCAAUCCAGGGAUGCCUGCAGCAGCCCCACUCGCAGAUCCAGGAGAGGGAUUCAUUUGCUAGUUUGUUGUGUGCAAGCAUGAGCAGGCAGGAGUGGUGUGCAGUGCUCUGAGUGCGCUGCCCUGCAUGCUUCAGUCUGUCCCAGGCUGGAGUUCCACAGUUCUCCUUAGAGUACACCCUAUAGUACCAUAACCUGAGCAUGAUGAAGGUCAAUUCAUCCCACCCAGAAGCAAUUUGGAAAGGGUUAAUGAAAAGCCUCAUUAUCCUUCCUCCCCCCCCCCCCACCUCUUCCAGCUGGAGUCAAGCUGCCAGCUGCUAUAAAAGACUUGCAGUCCAGGUAGAAUAGUGAUGGGGAGGGUGGUUAAUGCUGGUAAUUUACUGUAGUGGAAGGAGUAGUAGGGAGACAGAUUGCUAAGUAGGACAGGUAAGGUGCAGCUUAGGGAGCUGGGGAAGGACUUGGCAGAAACAAGCCUUUGCUGCUGAAUCUUAGAUCCCUGGGCAGGAGCCUAGAGGAUGGGAUGAGCCUGGGUUCCUCCACCUUUUCUUCCUAACAGUGAUGGUCUUAGAGGACCUCAACAAAAGCCAGGUUUUGUUUUCUGGAGCCUGAGACUGCUGCAGAACCAAUUUAGCAAACUUCAUCUGGGCACAUGUUGAAUCAUAAGACCUGGUUAUGAUUCCCAGGGCACAGGCAACUCAUCAGAGCUCUUAUUUGAAAAAUAAUUCUAAGAAACAGCUAUUUCCUGCCCUGGUCUGAGUUGAGUCUCAGCAUUCCCAAGAAAAGCUCUGGAAAUGACCCAGAUCAACCCAUAGAGCUGUCCACUGCCCUUUGAGUCUCAGCAACGCUACUGGUCAGCUGCGAAGCCCACAGAAGUCUCUGAGAUUCUUGCUACUGAUUCCAGAAAGUACUCGCCAUCAAGACUGACUUAGGCAAGUGUCUUUUUUUCUUCAGCAUCAUAACACAGUGAGGUAGCUACUGGCAUCCCAAGCCAACCCCAUACUGCUUCUGGACUCAAAUGUGUUCAAGGAGUACACCACUUGUUCACUCUCGGAGUCUUCUACACGUGCCCAGACUCAUUCCUGAGAGAGAGUUUGUGAAGCUGGUUCUGCAGAAGCUGUCUCAGACUCUAGGAAGCUAAACAUGGCUUUUGCUGCCUCCAUCCACCCCAAAGCUGCUCCCUGAUUUCUGUGCCAUGCACCAACAUGAUCAGAUCUGCAUAUCAGUGCUGUUUCCCUUCUUAUGCGGGAACAGCAGAAGCCUGCUGGGCCCUGAUCCUUAACCAAGGUAUCCAGGCAGCACAGCAAGCAAAUAAAAUAUGUCCUAUAGAACUGUGUGUGGCCUGUCUCUUAUGGACUUGAAGUGUUGUUUUUUUUCUAGUACACAAUUACCCACCACAUAGCAGGAAGUAGGUUUCUGUUCAGGGCAUGCACAAACAUCUAGCUCUUAGUGAAAAUGAAACUAUGAGAUAUCAGAAAAGCCUUCACAAAGUUUAGAGGCCAAGGAGUCUAGUUUUACCUGGAACUGAUCCCUCUGUUUCAUUUUACCCUCUGAGUCUUCCAAAAAAAGCACUUGGAUGCACUAAAAACCUCUCCCCAUCUGUUGUUCCCACAGCCACAAUAUUCAGCCUGGCAGAGCAACUGAAAAUCACACGGAUCCAAACAUGCAGCUUAAAAAUAGACCUGAAAGUCCUUCUGCAUUUACUGAUUGAAGGGGAGGCUCUGGUCACUGCUGCUCAUCAGAGAGUGUGGCAGAAAGAGCUGCAUUUUCAUUGAGGCUCGGCUGUUACCCAAGCUGUAUCAUGUCUGGAGGUUCAGUCAGUUGAUGUUGCAGGACAAACAGCAUUUGCCCUAUUCCAGUUUUGUCCUUAGUCCUGCAGAAACUUCAUGUAUGUAAGUAACCCCCUGAUACCAGCUAGGCUGCUUGCAAGGAGCUCUUGCACACAACAGAGGUUACAAGCUUGUUCCAAAAAACAGUGUAGAGUUUACAUGAUUAAUUAGGGGGCCUGACUCCCCCAAGGUCUUCCCAUGGCAGUCACCCCACUAGAUCCAAGGGGCUGACUCUUGAGAGUAAUUCUUCAUCACGUGAGCAAGGGUUUAGAAUACGAGCCUGGGAGGCAGGACAGAUGGGCUCUACUCAUGGUCUGUCACUUGCCUGGGGCAAGUAAUCUCACUGCCCUGCUUCCAUUUCCCCAUCUGUAUGGUGGGACUGGUGCAGCCCUGCUUUGUAAAGCACCUCAAGAUGUGCAGAGGAAAGAUUGAGGUUCUUAAUAUGACUUUUAAAUUAUAUUAAGGUUUCAUUCUUAUUUGUAGCACAGGUCUGCAGGGUCAGCCUGUGAGAACAUUGCACUUCAUAAAUUAAAUCCAUGAUAUAAAUAGUCACCAU